rfam:Myotis brandtii contig219378, whole genome shotgun sequence.
GGGCGUUUCUCUGUGAUGCACCCAGGAAUUGGGCUCCCUCCUCUCUGGUUCUGGGCGUGUCACCCUAGAACCCCC